ACCUGAAAUAAGCAAGAAUACCCGCUGAACUUAAGA
rnacentral:rRNA from 1 species